UCUUCUGGUGCUUUUAGACUGGGAUCUUCCGAUAGACAGCUUGUUGGACAGAAGGGGAAAUGAGGAGGGCAUUGUGGCUGGACAACUCUACUAAUGAAAUGGAAAAGAGUCCUAGAAGGGCAAAGUCACCAGCAUGCUCUGGCAUGACCUACAUACAAAGCACUAUGCCAGACACCAGACUCUCUGCCAGACACCAGAGAUUCAAGCAUCAAGCAGAAAGAGAACCGAGCUUAAGAACCAGAGGGAAAUCAUCUCAGCGUUGAGGACAUCCUUGAGUGCUGGGCAGUCUGAGGACAGGGAAGGAGUGAUGACCACAAAACAGGAAUGGCAGCAGCAGUGACAGGAGGAAGUCAAAGGCUUGUGUGUCCUGGCCCUGCUGAGGGCUGGCGAGGGCCCUGGGAUGGCGCUCAGUGCC
rnacentral:lncRNA from 1 species